AAAAUUAGAGUGUUCAAAGCAGGCAGAUUCAAUUUUCUGCCACCGAAUACAUUAGCAUGGGAUAAUGGAAUAGGACCCUGUCCUCCUAUCUUCAGUUGGUUAACUUGUAGAGGAUCAGGGUAAUGAUUAAUAGGGAUAGUUGGGGGCAUUAAUAUUUAAUUGUCAGAGGUGAAAUUCUUGGAUUUAUGAAAGAUUAACUUCUGCGAAAGCAUCUGCCAAGGAUGUUUUCAUUAAUCAAGAACGAAAGUUAGGGGAUCGAAGACGAUCAGAUACCGUCGUAGUCUUAACCAUAAACGAUGCCGACCAGCGAUUAGGAGACGUUGAAUACAAAACACCACCAUGUAUAAUUCAGUACAUGACCAGUCAAAUGGUUGUGUAUUGUUUGUAUAUGGCACCGGUGAA
rnacentral:rRNA from 1 species